UACGUAGGGCGCGAGCGUUGUCCGGAUUUAUUGGGCGUAAAGAGCUCGUAGGCGGCUUGUCGCGUCGACCGUGAAAACUUGGGGCUCAACCCCAAGCCUGCGGUCGAUACGGGCAGGCUCGAGUUCGGUAGGGGAGACUGGAAUUCCUGGUGUAGCGGUGAAAUGCGCAGAUAUCAGGAGGAACACCAGUGGCGAAGGCGAGUCUCUGGACGACACCUGACACUGAGGCACGAAAGCUAGGGGAGCAAACAGG
rnacentral:rRNA from 1 species